rnacentral:rRNA from 1 species
UACGGGGGGAGCAAGCGUUGUUCGGAUUUACUGGGCGUAAAGGGCGCGUAGGCGGCCAGCACAAGUCAGUUGUGAAAUCUCCGAGCUUAACUCGGAAAGGUCAACUGAUACUGUGCGGCUAGAGUGCGGAAGGGGCAACUGGAAUUCUUGGUGUAGCGGUGAAAUGCGUAGAUAUCAAGAGGACACCUGCGGCGAAGGCGGGUUGCUGGGCCGACACUGACGCUGAGGCGCGAAAGCGUGGGGAGCGAACAGG